rnacentral:rRNA from 1 species
AGAGCGAACGCUGGCGGCAGGCCUAACACAUGCAAGUCGAGCGCCCCGCAAGGGGAGCGGCAGACGGGAGAGUAACACGUGGGAACGUACCCUUCAGUUCGGAACAACCCAGGGAAACUUGGGCUAAUACCGAAUACGUCCGUAAGGAUAAAGAUUUAUCGCUGAAGGAUCGGCCCGCGUCUGAUUAGCUUGUUGGUGAGGUAACGGCUCACCAAGGCGACGAUCAGUAGCUGGUCUGAGAGGAUGAUCAGCCUCACUGGGACUGAGACACGGCCCAGACUCCUACGGGAGGCAGCAGUGGGGAAUAUUGGACAAUGGGCGCAAGCCUGAUCCAGCCAUGCCGCGUGGGUGAUGAAGGCCCUAGGGUUGUAAAGCCCUUUCGGCGGGGAAGAUAAUGACGGUACCCGCAGAAGAAGCCCGGCUAACUUCGCGCCAGCAGCCGC